GAUGAACGCUGGCGGCGUGCCUAAUACAUGCAAGUCGAGCGAACAGACGAGGAGCUUGCUCCUCUGACGUUAGCGGCGGACGGGUGAGUAACACGUGGAUAACCUACCUAUAAGACUGGGAUAACUUCGGGAAACCGGAGCUAAUACCGGAUAAUAUAUUGAACCGCAUGGUUCAAUAGUGAAAGACGGUUUUGCUGUCACUUAUAGAUUGAUCCGCGCCGCAUUAGCUAGUUGGUAAGGUAACGGCUUACCAAGGCAACGAUGCGUAGCCGACCCGAGAGGGUGAUCGGCCACACUGGAACUGAGACACGGUCCAGACUCCUACGGGAGGCCGCAGUAGGGAAUCUUCCGGGAUGGGCGAAAGCUUGACGGAGCAACACCGCGGGAGUGAUGAAGGUCUUCGGAUCGUAAAACUCUGUUAUUAGGGAAGAACAAAUGUGUAAGUAACUAUGCACGUCUUGACGGUACCUAAUCAGAAAGCCACGGCUAACUACGUG
rnacentral:rRNA from 1 species